rnacentral:rRNA from 1 species
UACGGAGGGUGCUAGCGUUGUUCGGAAUCACUGGGCGUAAAGCGCGUGUAGGCGGCCCACUAAGUCUGAUGUGAAAGCCCGGGGCUCACCCCCGGAAGUGCAUUGGAAACUGGUGGACUCGAGUCCCGGAGAGGAGAGUGGAAUUCCUGGUGUAGCGGUGAAAUGCGUAGAUAUCGGGAGGAACACCGGUGGCGAAGGCGGCCCACUGGUCCGGUACUGACGCUGAGGUGACGAAGCGUGGGGAGCAAACAGG